GCAGCAAUAACACGACUGACUACAAAACAAUCUGAUGAAAAACCUAAUCACUAAUUAGUCAAUAAUUGAACAAGAACAUUCCGCUAAUGGUGAUGCCCUGAAGCUCACUGUUUCCCUCAUCAUGAAUUAUUGAAGUCAUGUGGCCUGAAAAAGUGCACACUGGAUGCAGGAGUACGGAAUCAGAUGCCCACAAAGUGCAGAGACAUGUUUCUGAGUGUUACCGGGAGCCAGCCAGGCAGAGCUGCAGUGUGGGAGCCCGGCCUCAGAACGGGACACCCCACCAUCGAUCAGGAGACUGGCUUCUGCCCAUCUGCUCUUUAAGCCUGUGUCUCAGAUGGUGUGAAAUAGGGAUCACCCUGAGAGAAAGCUGUCACUGCAAGAUUCCGGGAUACACUGCCUUCAUUUUUAUAAAUGCAUGCAAUUAGCUAUGACUUUUAAAUUGGCACCAUGGUGAACAAGCAUGUCUCAAGCAUACAUGCCAAGUAUUACAAGCCGUUUUUCAAUGGCUUCAACUUCCUCAGCUCCAAAACCUUGGAUCUCACUCCAACUCAGCAUCUACUAUUAUGUUCUGUGUCUCCAUUAUAUUAGAUUUGCAGGAGGUUAACGAGAAGCACAGCACAUAAUUCACAUGAAUAGGCUUUGAAACCUAAGUGUGAUGAAAAGUAUUAUUAUUACUGUUAUGCAAAGUCCUUGCAGCAAAAAUUACAUUAUCCUUUUUCCAAAUAUAUUGUGAACCUAUUGCUGCGCUAGAAUUCAGAUCUAGGCUUUCUUAAAACUCCAUUUGUGAUGCUUGCACUUACUUCAUAAACUUCCUUGGGUAUGAAAACACUUAAGUUUUCUUUUCUCCCCAAUGCCCCAGGCAGUUGACAGGUGGAUAAUGACAUCAACAGGCAGGUGGCCAUCAAAGACUCAGGGUAGGUGUGUUUUUGUGAGACCCCAGGUGGUUGAUUUCUGUAUGAUACCUCUCCAUAAAUGUGAAUUUCCUAUUCUUUAUUUCUUAAUCUUAAUAAAUCACUAUUUAAAUAACAAAACUUAACAUUCAAUCGUUAUUUUAAAGAUGACUUUUUAAAAUAACUCAAAGAGACAAAGGCAAAAAUUCCAACUAAUUUGCGUCUUUUCCCCAUUUUUCUGCCAUAUGUACAACUUCCAGUUCAAGGCUCACUUUCCUCUGGCAUUUGUUGCAUCUGUUUGAGCUUCCCAAUAGCAUCUCUCACGAUCAGCUCAACUCCGAUUCGGCGGCUAUAGAAUGGUCAAGGGCUGUACAUGGCUUUAGCUAUUCACCUGGAAGGUCUUUGGUGACUGGGUGUUGAUUUGCACCUCCACAGACGUGUGGUAGGAGAGACGCAAGGAAGAAACUGACAAGGGGAUCCCGCUGGAGCAGUCCUCCGCUGUCCAGUUAAGAAGUGGUCAUUUCCACUCCGUUCUUAUGAGUUCCCACCACCUGUUAGUUCCUUAACGUUGCUAGGUAGCCCUAGGGGGCAGCCGGAUUUGUGUAUUAAGCUCAUUUAUUUGUGCCUUUACUGUCGGCAACAACCUGAACCCACAAACUACUUCACAAAGAAAAGUCUGAGCAAAAUGUAGACAACUCUUAGGACAGGUCUUUGCCAUCAUUUGAUCACACCGUCUAUCAACCGAUGCUAAUCUUCAAGUGUCACCUGGUCUUCCAGGGCAGGUUCCGGUAACGCAGUACAGCUUUGGCAUAACUUCAGAACAAGAAAUCCCAGUGGAUCGUAGCUAUCUACUUAUAAAUUAUAAUUUUCCCCUAUGUAGAAGAAAAUAUUCAAGACCUAUAUAAUUCACAUACUUAGAAAAGAAAACAACUUAUUUUUUUCCCUCUCUCAAAUUGCCUGGAGGUAAAAAAAAAAUGCUAAACGGAUAAUAUCUUUCAACACUGAAUUGAUUUCUCAGCUUAAUUUAAGCAAAGAAAUUAUGUGCCAGAUGGCAUAAUCAACAUGUUCUGUUGAAAGAUUGCAAUUUUAUUCUUAUAAGAAAAAAUAAGCAUUUUUCCACGUGGUCUACUCAGCAGGGAAGAAAGUUUAUAUAUGCUGGCUCUAACAAUGCCAUCUUUGACGAGGAAAAAGACAAUAGCUUUGAAUGUAUUAACUGAUCUGUUUUGAAAGCAGAAAUGGUACUUUGUUUUAUUCUGCCAAAAGUAUUACAUAAGACCUAUGGUAAGUAACUGGAAAAAGAACUAUUAAAAUGAAUAGUCAUGAAUAUAGUAAAAUUUAUCUUUGCACAGUUGGGCAU